rnacentral:rRNA from 1 species
GGGUGCAAGCGUUACUCGGAAUUACUGGGCGUAAAGCGUGCGUAGGUGGUUUGUUAAGUCUGCUGUGAAAGCCCCGGGCUCAACCUGGGAAUGGCAGUGGAUACUGGCAAGCUAGAGUGCGGUAGAGGGGUGUGGAAUUCCCGGUGUAGCGGUGAAAUGCGUAGAGAUCGGGAGGAACACCAGUGGCGAAGGCGGCACCCUGGACCAGCACUGACACUGAGGCACGAAAGCGUGGGGAGCAAACAGGAUUAGAUACCCUGGUAGUCCACGCCCUAAACGAUGCGAACUGGACGUUGGGAGCAACUUGGCUCUCAGUGUCGAAGCUAACGCGUUAAGUUCGCCGCCUGGGGAGUACGGUCGCAAGACUGAAACUCAAAGGAAUUGACGGGGGCCCGCACAAGCGGUGGAGUA